CCUACGGGGGGCAGCAGUGAGGAAUAUUGGUCAAUGGACGUGAGCCUGAACCAGCCAAGUAGCGUGCAGGAUGACGGCCCUACGGAUUGUAAACUGCUUUUAUACGGGAAUAACGCGCCUUACGUGUAGGUCUUUGCGUGUACCGUAUGAAUAAGGACCGGCUAAUUCCGUGCCAGCAGCCGCGGUAAUACGGAAGGUCCGGGCGUUAUCCGGAUUUAUGGGGGUUAAAGGGAGCGUAGGCCGCAUGUCAAGCGUACUGUGAAAUGUCCGGGCUCAACCCGGGCCGUGCAGCGCGAACUGGUGUGCUUGAGGCCGCGGAAAGUAGGCGGAAUUCGUGGUGUAGCGGUGAAAUGCUUAGAUAUGACGAAGAACUCCGAUUGCGAAGGCAGCUUGCUGCAGCGGAACUGACGCUGAUGCUCGAAAGCGAGGGUAUCGAACAGGAUUAGAUACCCGAGUAGUC
rnacentral:rRNA from 1 species